CCUACGGGGGGCUGCAGUGGGGAAUUUUGGACAAUGGGGGCAACCCUGAUCCAGCCAUGCCGCGUGCGGGAAGAAGGCCUUCGGGUUGUAAACCGCUUUUGUCAGGGAAGAAAUCUUCCGAGCUAAUACCUUGGGAGGAUGACGGUACCUGAAGAAUAAGCACCGGCUAACUACGUGCCAGCAGCCGCGGUAAUACGUAGGGUGCAAGCGUUGAUCGGAAUUAGCGGGGGUAAUGCGGCCGCAGGGGGGUGAAAUCCCCGGGCUUACCCUGGGAACUGCACUUGUGACUGUACGGCUGGAGUACGGCAGAGGGGGAUGGAAUUCCGCGUGUAGCAGUGAAAUGCGUAGAUAUGCGGAGGAACACCGAUGGCGAAGGCAGUCCCCUGGGCCUGUACUGACGCUCAUGCACGAAAGCGUGGGGAGCAAACAGGAUUAGAUACCCUUGUAGUC
rnacentral:rRNA from 1 species